rnacentral:rRNA from 1 species
UAGGGAAUCUUCCGCAAUGGGCGAAAGCCUGACGGAGCAACGCCGCGUGAGUGAUGAAGGUCUUCGGAUCGUAAAACUCUGUUAUUAGGGAAGAACAAAUGUGUAAGUAACUAUGCACGUCUUGACGGUACCUACUCAGAAAGCCACGGCUAACUACGUGCCAGCAGCCGCGGUAAUACGUAGGUGGCACGCGUUAUCCGGAAUUAUUGGGCGUAAAGCGCGCGUAGGCGGUUUUUUAAGUCUGAUGUGAAAGCCCACGGCUCAACCGUGGAGGGUCAUUGGAAACUGGAAAACUUGAGUGCAGAAGAGGAAAGUGGAAUUCCAUGGGUAGCGGUGAAAUGCGGAGAGAUAUGGAGGAACACCAGUGGCGAAGGCGACUUACUGGUCGGUAACUGACGCUGAUGUGCGAAAGCGUGGGGAUCAAACAGG